rnacentral:rRNA from 1 species
UACGUAGGGACCAAGCGUUGUUCGGAUUUACUGGGCGUAAAGGGCGCGUAGGCGGCUUAACAAGUCACUUGUGAAAUCUCCGGGCUUAACUCGGAACUGCCAAGUGAAACUGUCAAGCUAGAGUGCAGAAGGGGCAAUCGGAAUUCUUGGUGUAGCGGUGAAAUGCGUAGAUAUCAAGAGGAACACCUGAGGUGAAGACGGGUUGCUGGGCUGACACUGACGCUGAGGCGCGAAAGCCAGGGGAGCAAACGGG